rnacentral:rRNA from 1 species
UUGGAGGGCAAGUCUGGUGCCAGCAGCCGCGGUAAUUCCAGCUCCGAUAGCGUAUAUUAAAGUUGUUGCAGUUAAAAAGCUCGUAGUUGAAUUUCGGGAUCAAUAUUUCGGUCAUGCCGUUGGUAUGCACUGUUAUCAUUGAUUUCUCACCUUCUAAAGAACCGUAAUGCCAUUAAUUUGGUGUUACGGGGAAUUAGGACUGUUACCUUGAAAAAAUUAGAGUGUUUAAAGCAGGCUCACGCUUGAAUACAUUAGCAUGGAAUAAUGAAAUAGGACAUCCGAUUCUAUUUUGUUGGUUUCUAGGAUCGAUGUAAUGAUUAAUAGGGAUAGUUGGGGGCAUUAGUAUUCAAUUGUCAGAGGUGAAAUUCUUGGAUUUAUUGAAGACUAACUACUGCGAAAGCAUUUGCCAAGGAUGUUUUCAUUAAUCAAGAACGAAAGUUAGGGGAUCGAAGACGAUCAGAUACCGUCGUAGUCUUAACCAUAAACUAUGCCGACUAGGGAUCGGAUGAUGUUAAUUUUUUAAUGACUCAUUCGGCGCCUUACGGGAAAC